rnacentral:lncRNA from 1 species
AAAGGUUUGACCGGACGCCCCAGAGCCCCCGCCUUAGCCAGAGCAGGGACUUCCCCUAUGCUGGCCUCUGUUUCCCCAUCUGUCAAAUGGGGGUCUUAAGAGCCCUUCGCUCCAUCCCUGGCACCAUUAGGUCUAGAGCGAGGCGGCUGCCAUCUUUACUGAUUCCAGAGAAGGAGACGGGGCUCGGUGCUGCCCGGCCCUGCCUGCCGUUGGCUCUUGAGGAGUUUAUAUUCUGGGGGGGUGGGGGGGGGGUUCAGAGCUUCAGGGGUGCCUCAGCUGAGGAGCCUCAGUCUCAGCAAGUUCGCCUCUGCGGGCUGCAGGACAGGAGCCCCAUGGAUCUGGGGGGCCCCGGCCGGAGGCUGACCAUGGUUUGGGGCUCCAUCACUGCUGGGAGGCAGAUGCCCGGCCGCCAGCAUCCCCAGGGCUUUGCCACCUUCUGUACCCCAGGGGGCUCCACAGAUGUUGCCUGAGCAGCUGGCUAAAGCCGCCGGGGCUCCCCGAAGGACGGAGCCAGGCAGAGGCUGCUGCUUUGGCCUCCCCUUCCAGAAGGAAGCGUCCCCGCAGCGUCGGGAGCCCCGGCGUGGAGGGAGGGUGUGCCCGGCCGGGAGGGCAGUGCCAGCUCAUCGCGUGGGCACGGCUGCUGGGCGAGAGCCAGCUGGGGGGUCUGUGCAGGAAGGAAGCUGGGGGUUGGGGGAGGCCCGGUCGGUGACCCCGGCGUGCACAGCCACGAGUCUGGGAGGUGAGGCUGGGGCAGCGGGCGGCCAGAGUCAGGCCAUCCCAGCCGAGGCCGGGCCGGGCCUCCCAGAGCCGCCUCCUCGGUCCGUCCCUCGCCCCGUCCCGGCCCUGUCCGCCACCCUUCCUCGGCCUCAGCCUGAGGCCACCCUGGCCUCCCCCGGGGGGGGGGCUGCGGGGAGGGGGGAGGGCGGGGGAGGGCGUCCAGCCUCAGGGCGGCUCUCGCCCCCAGCUGGAGAACGCCCUCCUGGACGCCUACGACCUGGCUUACGAGCGGGCCCUGCGGAACGCCUCGGAGCCCUGGAGGCAGAAGCUGGGCGCCGUCCCGACACGGUGAGCCCUGGGGGGCCCUUUGGCCCACAAGGCAGGGAGGGGGGCGCCCCGCUUUGGCUGCUGGGCCGCCCCUCACCCGGCCUGUCCUUUAGAUGGGCUGCUGCGGGAAGAGCUCGCCUUUGGGCCGGCGGGGCGCCGAGGAGCAGCACCUGUGCCAGGGCGCCGGGCAGAGGGAGGAUUGCCUCCAGGAGAUCAGAAGCUUUGCGAGGAAGCAUCUGGGCGCAGCCACCCUCCUGUUCAUCCUCACCCUGGCUUUCACGGUACCCACCCUGGCUCCCCUCCCCGGGUCAGAGUUGGGGGGCUCGGGACCCGAAGACGGCUGCAGCCCCGUGACCCCACUGCCCCGAGGCAGAGAGAGCCCGGGCUGACCGGGCUCCGAGGUGGCCAGGCCCAAUGCCUGCACGUUACAGAGGGGGAAACUGAGGCUCCAGGAAGACACGUGACUCGCCCCAAGCCGCAGAGGGAAUGAGGUCCUCGGGGUGCAUCAGAAAACCUGGCCCCGCCGCCGACUCUGCGUGAGAGCUUGAGUCGCCUCAGUUUCCCUAUCUGGAAAACGAAGGCAGGGUUGGCCCCCAGCCCCGACUCCUCCGAGGGCCGGGGCUGCCUCCCUUCCCCCUCUCCCUCCCUUCCUCCCAAGGGCCCCCCAGGGCUCCGGAGGGUGGGGGCGGAAAGCAGCCCGCGGGCAAGCCAGACCCCUCACUCUCUGCCCGCCUCCUCCCUUAGGUUCAUGGGAUGUCCCUCACCUCCUUCCUCUGGCUGAGCAUCCAUUACAGCAGGAACCUGGACCGGAAAGGCCGCUACAGCCUGACCGCCCGCUAGGACCCCCCUCAGAGGGGCCCUGCAGGGCAUCGGCAGCCCUCAGGCCCCGCGUGACCCGCACACGCCCGCAGAGCCUCGGCGUCCUCAUCUGUCAAAAAGAGCGCGGGCAUCGCCACUGUUGGGGAAAAGCGCCCCGAAUCCGUGGCUCAGGCCCGGCUCCCCUCCCUUUCCCCCAGCUCCAGACGGCACAGGCCAGAGCAGGAUGGGGGGCCUUUACUCAGGCCCCCCCCAUGUCAGGGGGUCCUUGGAACUUCGUCUUUGUACACUUUCCCUUAUCCUCUUGUCACUCUUACUGGCCCUGAAAAGCCUGAUGGGGAGGCUGGGGCAGAGGAGCCCGGGGCCCCGACUUCUCAAGCACAGGGAGCCCAGGGCACGCCCCUUCCCUCCUCUUCCUCAUCCACCCGGGGAGAAGAGGAAGGCCCGAACCGGCCCGAGAAGACAUUCCUUGUCUCCCCUUUUACCAAGGAGGGGACAGUCGCCCAGCACGCAGCCUCUCUUAACCCCUACUUCCGGCUUAGAAGUCGCUUAGUCCCGAGGCCGAGGAGCCGGAGGGGUUCAUCCGGGGUCCCCCACAAGGCUGCGUCUGAGCCCCCAUCUUCCUGCCUUUAUCCACGUCCCCAAUUCAGCCAAGCAGGGAGCCAGAGAGCCAGAGAGAGCGCCAUAAAAGUGACGAAUAAAUACAUACAAAGCGGCA